rnacentral:rRNA from 1 species
CUACGGGUUGCAGCAGUGAGGAAUAUUGCACAAUGGGGGGAACCCUGAUGCAGCAACGCCGCGUGGAGGAUGACGCAUUUCGGUGUGUAAACUCCUUUUAUAUGUCAAGAAAAUGACGGUAGCAUAUGAAUAAGCACCGGCUAACUCCGUGCCAGCAGCCGCGGUAAUACGGAGGGUGCAAGCGUUACUCGGAAUCACUGGGCGUAAAGGACGCGUAGGCGGGUUGGAAAGUCAGGUGUGAAAUCCUACAGCUUAACUGUAGAACUGCACUUGAAACUUCUAAUCUAGAGUAUGGGAGGGGAGAUGGAAUGAGGGGUGUAGGGGUAAAAGCCGUAGAUAUCACUAGGAAUACCUAAGGCGAAGGCGAUCUCCGGGAACAUCACUGACGCUAAGGCGUGAAAGCGUGGGGAGCAAACAGGAUUAGAUACCCGCGUGGUC